GGUUGUUCAGGCACAACGUUUUUCGUAAACGGCAAAUCUAUGCUGCCGACUGCCGCAAGGUGGUGAAAGGUUCGGUCAAAGUUUGGAUCACUACUUGCUGGAGCUCCUUGCAUGUGAACACUGCCUGUAGAUGCCAGAGACAAAUGCCCCGUCACAUCAAGACUCAUGUCAGCGGUUUGGCUCUUCAAAUGUGUGAAGUCUUCAUUACCUUCAUCGAGGGCCGACCUGGUACUGCUGCAUCUCCGGUAUUCACUUGCAUUUAAUUUAGGUGACGGACGGGCGGACAGACGGACUAGCGGAAUUUUCGUAACGACUUUCCAAAUAAGGUUAUGCGGAAUAAAAGCGUAAAGUCUUCGCAAAUAAAGACCAUCUUUCAAGACAUGAAAAACUCGCACAAAUUGUCUUUCAUUUGGCCAGGGGACAUGUGCAUCACCAGGCGUUAAAUAAACUGGUUGCUUUCCGGCGACACCAUAA